GAUGAACGCUGGCGGCGUGCCUAAUACAUGCAAGUCGAGCGAACAGAUGAGGAGCUUGCUCCUCUGACGUUAGCGGCGGACGGGUGAGUAACACGUGGAUAACCUACCUAUAAGACUGGGAUAACUUCGGGAAACCGGAGCUAAUACCGGAUAAUAUAUUGAACCGCAUGGUUCAAUAGUGAAAGACGGUUUUGCUGUCACUUAUAGAUGGAUCCGCGCCGCAUUAGCUAGUUGGUAAGGUAACGGCUUACCAAGGCAACGAUGCGUAGCCGACCUGAGAGGGUGAUCGGCCACACUGGAACUGAGACACGGUCCAGACUCCUACGGGAGGCAGCAGUAGGGAAUCUGCCGCAAUGGGCGAAAGCCUGACGGAGCAACGCCGCGUGAGUGAUGAAGGUCUUCGGAUCGUAAAACUCUGUUAUUAGGGAAGAAAAAAUGUGUAAGUAACUAUGCACGUCUUGACGGUACCUAAUCAGAAAGCCACGGCUAACUACGUG
rnacentral:rRNA from 1 species